AUGCGCUCAGCGGCAGCGCGGCGGGCGGGACCCGGCGGGGGCGCGGCCCGGGGCGGCCCCCAUCUCGGCGGCUGCGGCUCGGCGGCCCGGAGGCGGACGCGGGGCAGGCCGCGGGGGCGCCGCAGGGGCCCAGCCGCCAGCUCCCACCCGCCCGCUCCGCGUGGACGCGGCUCCGGGCCGACUCCGGCCGGCUCUGGCAGCGGCAGCGGCCACGAUCGCCUCCCGAGCCGGAGCCCGAGCCAGAGCGCCGAAGCCCAGGCCCGAGCGCCCCCGCCGGCGGCGUCCGGAAGUGCGGGGGCGGGGCCGGGGUGCGGGGACGAGGCCUCAGCCGACCAUCAGGCCCUCCCCAAGGAGGAGGAUGUGAGUACCAGGAUCUGCCGCCUUCCACAACAGCCCAGGGCCCUGUCCUUCCCAGAGCACUAUUGGGCCUGGCACCUCCCGGGAUGCUCCAGGCAGCCGCCUGGGGUCAGCUAUACCCCCAUUUCACAGAGGAGACCGCUGCAGUUCACGCCACACAGGACCAGCUCGCCUCCUGUUGGAUGCGUCUGGCCACUUGCCCGCCUCCGUGCUUCCGUGUCCGUCAUAUCCAUGCCCGCCAGCUCCCUCCAGGCACCUCUCACAUCACCCCCAUGUCUUUCCCUGGGCUGUGUCACCCUGGAUGCCCAGCCUCAUCCUUCAGAGCUCCCAGGCAAGCACAGAAGUCCCAGCUCCAGGCUCCCUGAGCCUCCAGCCCACCCCCCACCAGAUGCCCACAGGUGGGACUGCAUGGGGAACCAUGUGUGGAAGCCUCCCAGUCCUCGCCCCUGCCAGCACUCAGCAUGGUGUCUGAUGCCAGCGUCGCUGUGUGGGAAAGGGGGCAGCAUGGGACAAGAGCCACUAGGCUGUUCCCAGCCUGCCAAGGGCCCAGGCCCACCUCCCAGGGCCAUCACCAUGCUCAGAGCAGGUGGGCAGGGGCUGGGGAUAUGAACGAAGCUGCACUGUUAGGCCAACACUUGGCCCUGCUGGGUCCUGGCCUCAGGCACCCUGCCAGGUCCCACAGUGCUGGACACUGGGGCCUUCCCGCAAGCCCCCCAGCCCAUUCAGCCUCAGAACCUUAGAGGAGACAGAGUGGGUGGCCUCCAGGUAAAGCACAGUUUCCAGGGAUGAGGGAGUCCUGAGUGGCCAGACAGACAGGAGGACCUCAGACGCUGGCCCAUGGGCUGCUCCCCGACUCCCAACAAGGUCCCCAAUUCUUGCCUUGGUUCUGCAGAGCUGCCGCUGCGGCCAGGCCAGGCUCUCGGGUCUGUGUCCACGUCCAUCCUCCUCUUGGCCCUCGGUGGCAGGUGUCCCCAGGCCCUGGGACCAGAACAAGGUCCUUCGGCCUCCAGCUCCUCGGGGCCCCUCCCCUGCAGGGACAGGAAGGGGGUCAGAAAGCCUGGAGGAAACGCAGCAGCCCUUCUAAAGCACCAAAUGAAACACUUAAGAGCAGACAUGAAAUUAUUUUCUUCAAUGUAGACGUAAAAGGAAACCCUGGAAGACACGCCAAGGACAUUAGCUGGGGAGUGUUUGCCGCUGUACGAUGUGUGAUGGAGACAGCCAGCUGCAGAGAUGGACACUGUAGCCACCGACCCUGCACCAGUGUAAGGGGAGCGGGGGAAGAGGACGGACGGUUCUGAUCCAGGGUUCUGGAGGCUGAGGGAAGCCUCGGGUUCAGCCUCUUCCUGUCUGCCCCUUCUCUGCCCCCUCCGCUCAGUCCAUAGGUGAGAGAGGUGGGAGUGGGCAGGCAGGGGAGGCCCCUGGAGGGGGAGGGAGGCCUUGGACCAUCCAGUUCAGGCGAGGGAGGACUGCACUUUCCAUCGCAGGCACAGCCCCCACCACCCUCCGCCGCCUUCCAGGCUGUAAGGCGAGCCCCAGCUCUCAUCCCUAAGUCUUCUUUUUCCAUCAGUUCUAAGCCCACAGGAGAGGCCAGAGGCUGCCUGUGCCCCCAUCCCAAGCCCGACAGAGAACAAGGAGCUGCAACACCCCGGAGACAUGCUGCGAGGGCACGCACACGGGGCAGCACUUUUCGUGAAAAUAGAAAAUGUGGGCCGGGCGCAGUGACUCACACCUGUGAUCCCAGCACUUUGGGAGGCUGAGGCGGGCGGAUCACUUGAAGUCAGUUUAAGAUUAGCCUGGGCAGGCCGGGUGCAGUGGCUCACACCUGUAAUCCCAGCACUUUGGGAGGCUGAGGCGGGAGGAUCACUUGAAGUCAGCGGUUUAAGAUUAGCCUGGGCAACAACGCAAGACCCUUUCUCUACAGAAGCAUUGUUUUUAAUUAGCCAGGCAUGGUGGCGUGCGCCUGUGGUCGCAGGUACACGGAAGGCUGAGACAGGAGGAUGGCCUGAGCCUGAGAGGUCAAGGCUGCAGUGAGCUGAGAUGGUGCCACUCCACUCCAGUCUGGGUGAGAGCAAGACCUGACACUGGGCCAGGUGCGGUGGCUCACGCCUGUAAUCCCAACACUUUGGGAGGCCAAGGCAGGCAGAUCGCCUGAGGCUGGGAGUUCGAGACCAGCCUGACCAACAUGGAGAAACCCCGUCUCUACUAAAAUUACAAAAUUAGCCAGGCGUGGUGGCACAUGCCCGUAAUCCCAUCUACUUGGGACACUGAGGGAGGAGAAUUGCUUAAAUCUGGGAGGCGGACGUUGCAGUGAGCUGAGAUCGUGCCACAGCACUCCAGCCUGGGCAACAAGAGCAAAACUCCAUCUCAAAAAAAUAAAAAUAAAAAAGGGCAA